GGAGGGGGCGAGCGUUAUUCGGAAUUAUUGGGCGUAAAGGGCGCGUAGGUGGCCCUGUAAGUCAAAGGUGAAAUCCCUCGGCUCAACCGAGGAAUUGCCCUUGAAACUGCAGGGCUUGAGGCCGGGAGGGGGUAGCGGAAUUCCCAGUGUAGCGGUGAAAUGCGUAGAUACUGGGAGGAACACCGGUGGCGAAGGCGGCUACCUGGACCGGUUCUGACACUGAUGCGCGAAAGCGUGGGUAGCAAACAGGAUUAGAUACCCUGGUAGUCCACGCUGUAAACGAUGGGUGCUCGGUGUCGCGGGUAUCGACCCCUGCGGUGCCUUAGCUAACGCGUUAAGCACCCCGCCUGGGGAGUACGGUCGCAAGGCUG
rnacentral:rRNA from 1 species